AUUGAACGCUGGCGGCAUGCCUUACACAUGCAAGUCGAACGGCAGCACGGGUGCUUGCACCUGGUGGCGAGUGGCGAACGGGUGAGUAAUACAUCGGAACAUGUCCUGUAGUGGGGGAUAGCCCGGCGAAAGCCGGAUUAAUACCGCAUACGAUCUACGGAUGACAGCGUGGGACCUUCGGGCCUCGCGCUAUAGGGUUGGCCGAUGGCUGAUUAGCUAGUUGGUGGGGUAAAGGCCUACCAAGGCGACGAUCAGUAGCUGGUCUGAGAGGACGACCAGCGACAUUGGAACUGAGACACGGCCCAGACUCCUACGGGAGGCAGCAGUGGGGAAUUUUGGACAAUGGGCGAAAGCCUGAUCCAGCAAUGCCGCGUGUGUGAAGAAGGCCUUCGGGUUGUAAAGCACUUUUGUCCGGAAAGAAAUCCUUGGCUCUAAUACAGUCGGGGGAUGACGGUACCGGAAGAAUAAGCACCGGCUAACUACGUG
rnacentral:rRNA from 1 species